rnacentral:rRNA from 1 species
AUGAACGUUGGCGGCGUGGAUUAGGCAUGCAAGUCGAGCGAGAACCGUAGCAAUACGGGGACAGCGGCGAAAGGGAGAGUAAUGCGUGGAUACCUACCCUCGGGUCCGGGAUAGCUGCGGGAAACUGCAGGUAAUACCGGAUGACAUCUCCGGAUCAAAGGUGUGAUUCCGCCCGGGGAGGGGUCCACGUCCUAUUAGCUAGUUGGCGAGGUAACGGCUCACCAAGGCUGUGAUGGGUACGGGGUGUGAGAGCAUGCCCCCGCUCACUGGGACUGAGACACUGCCCAGACACCUACGGGUGGCUGCAGUCGAGAAUCUUCGGCAAUGGGCGCAAGCCUGACCGAGCGACGCCGCGUGCGAGAUGAAGGCCUUCGGGUUGUAAAUCGCUGUCAGAGGGGAGGAAAUGCCGGUGGGUUCUCCCAUCGGUUUGACCUAUCCUCAGAGGAAGGACGGGCUAAGUUCGU